ensembl:lncRNA
CAAAUUUUGUAGGUUGAUAUAUUUUUAAAUUUUGUAUUACUUUAUACAAAUAUAAAUUUGUAUUAUAGUUUAACAUCUACAGUGAUAUAUCAAACUGCUGUAAUUAAAAUCUGUCACUGAACACCAUUUCAUAUUGCUCUGAUAUCUUAAUAACAUGUUCCUUCUAGUGAAGUCCUUGUAACAAGAAACCCUAUGAGACUGGUAAUGAAAUACCGAAUAAUUAGAAGUGUACCUAACAUCAAACAUGUUGAAAAACCUCAACCUUUCUUGUCUUGCCAUCAUAGAUCCAGUGUAGCAUAGGUUACAUGGAAAUAUUCUCAGGAUCAAUGGUUAUAAACCCCCACCCACAAACUAUUAGAAAUUGUAUCUGGGACUUGUUACAAGGUAAGGUAGAUUGUUACAGACUUUAAAAUAGUCUUGCUGAUGUAACUGUAUUACAGUUAAUGAAGUUUUCAGGGAGAGUAUACUUUAAAAAUACUUUCUCCUGCAAACUUAUAUUUACCAAAUAGUCUGUUUCUUUGGUAAAAAUUAGUUAUUAAUAAUUAAGCUUUAAAACAUUUCUGCUUUACCUCAGUAUUUUCUUCACUUCUCUUUACCCUGUCCCUUGUAUAUGAGCUUGGCCCAGUUGUCUAUUACACAGCCUCUGCCUUACUUCUUGUAUAUUUUGGUAAGACCAUGCAUAAACACGAAAGUUUACAUUCUGAAGUUCUUACUCUUAAAACUGACUUUAGUCUCUGUCCCCCCAAAAAUUUGGUUUAUAUUCACUAAUGACUUUUCUCUAACAAUACUUAAUUUCUUAGUAUCAGUAGAUUUGGAUUGCAUGAUGACAGCUCACUUUAACCAUGUAUGCCUUUUUAAAUAAAUUGAGUCCAAAAAAUCUUUCUGAUCUUCAGUCUGCUUUGGUUUUUAGCUACUGGGUAGAACUAGAAAGAAUAUCAAUUGUAUUCCCUCGCCUAUCUAAAUUCUGCACACUGUGGGGCCUAAAUAAAGGUCCCCAGGAAACCAAGGUUCUGGUUUUUCAGUCAAAGCAGACAGCAUUCCAACCCAGCAUGAUCACUGCAGACUGAAAGUUUAGCAGAUACUUGGUGAACUCUGAAGCUCCAGCACUGUCUGUCUCAACAAUUUCAAAUGUCUUAUUUUCUUAGUAAGUUGUAAGAGUAUAUUUUGAAAGAAGGGCUAAGGGGAGAAUUUCUCCCAGCAAGAUCAAUAUUAUCAGAAAUGAUUAACUUAAAUCUUAUGAAGAAAGGCAUGUCUUUUCAUGCUUAAGAAAAUACUUCAUCAUUACUCCCCUUUAAAUGACGUAUUGCAUAGCCUUCCUAUAACUAAUUAUUGAAAGCCAUCAUUUUCUUGUAUGCUUUAUCAGCCAGAUAAAUUAACAACUCGAUGCUAGAAAAUGCUUGAAAUAAAAAACAUAAUCCCAAUUGUUUAAUUUCUUCGAUUGCUGGUUCUGUUGAAACCUUUUCAUGUUAAUUGGUCAGAGAGCCCCAGUUCAUAAUCUUUAGCCUAGUAUGUGUGGCAGGGAGAAAAAUCGGUGUUGUCUAUCUGAUGAUAUUCUUAAAUAUCUUGAAGGGCUACUGCCCCUUCUCUCUGUUCUUUUUUGCUGAACUGUCUAUUCCUGGACCUUCACUGCUUCAAAUAAACUUUAACAUCAGUUUGUCAAGUUCUUCAUCUAGAAUAAGGAUUUAUUUUUAAGAUUUAAUAUUAUUGUAGAAGAAUUUAAAUCUUUUCUGGCAUUGAUACUCUUCUUUAAUGGCUUUACACUAAGAACUGUUCCAAAAGAAUGAGAACUUGACAGUCCAAUUACUGGCUGAAAGGAAGG